rnacentral:lncRNA from 1 species
GUUGGUUUCUUAAGUACAUGCGCGCCACGGCAACCUUACGAAGUAACAUUUGCAUACCAACAGCAGACCUGUGAAAUACAUGAAAAGGUGGGAACGCCAAAGGAACCUGGGUUCUGCUGGGAAAUUCGGGAGAGAGCUUUUAACAGCCACAGAAGUGACACUUUGACAGUGACUUCCUGAAGACAGUCAGUGGAACAAAGAUGCCUCAGAAGGGCAAAAGAUUUCUGUGAUUUCUCCAAGUGGGGAUCUGGGGUGUGACUUCUGAGAGUCCCCAGCCUUCAAAAAAUGUGAAAAAUAGUUACCAGUCAGAGAUCAGUCAUUUGUUACUCGAUGACACUCCCACCUAAGGGACUAGCAUUCUCUGUAGCCUCUGCAGCCAGUUAGCACAGAAAAAGUCAAAAGAAAACUCUUUAGGGGCGUGGCACGGUUGGAGGACCCUAGCGGAUGAAGAGUUGCAGCCAAAGGGCUUGAAGCAAAACUCCGGGAAGAGCUUUAGAAAUUCACAAAGAGCAAUUACAGAGGAAACAACAGAAAAGAAGCACUUGCCUCAGAACACUCAAGGAACAAAAACACAGUGGGAAAAAUAAGAGUUGAGCUAGUGGCUCACAUUCUAGACCUGUGACACUGAAAAGGAAGAAGGCGUGCUGGGGCGUUUGCGUUCUUGCACACGUCUAUGCUGACCGCUGUGCUGCCCAGCCUUCCUGUGCACCAUCACAGCCUAACAAGGUCAGCUUCU